GUCUAUGGGCCAUACCACCCUGGAAUGAUGCCCCAUCUCAUCUGAUCUCGGGAAGCUAAGCAGGGUCAGGCCUGUGUUAGUACUUGGAUGGGAACACCGCCAGGGAAAUACCAGGUGCUGUAGGCU
rnacentral:rRNA from 1 species